UACAGAGGUCCCAAGCGUUUGUUCGGAUUCACUGGGCGUAAAGGGUGCGUAGGUGGUGAGGUAAGUCGGAUGUGAAAGCUCGGAGCUCAACUCCGAAAUGGCAUUGGAAACUACCUCGCUAGAGGAUCGGAGGGGAGACUGGAAUUCUCGGUGUAGCAGUGAAAUGCGUAGAUAUCUGGAGGAACACCGGUGGCGAAGGCGGCAUCCUGGACCGACACUGACGCUGAGGAGCGAAAGCCAGGGGAGCAAACGGG
rnacentral:rRNA from 1 species